UGGGGAAUAUUGGUCAAUGGGCGAAAGCCUGAACCAGCAAUGCCGCGUGAGUGAUGAAGGCCUUCGGGUUGUAAAGCUCUGUCGGGAGGGACGAAAAAACUCGGGUAACGCCAAGGCUUGACGGUACCUCCAAAGGAAGCACCGGCUAACUCUGUGCCAGCAGCCGCGGUAAUACAGAGGGUGCAAGCGUUGUUCGGAAUUACUGGGCGUAAAGCGCGUGUAGGCUGCAACGUAAGUCGGACGUGAAAGCCCUUGGCUUAACCAAGGAAGUGCAUCCGAUACUGCGUCGCUUGAGUGUCGGAGGGGGCGGCGGAAUUCCCGGUGUAGAGGUGAAAUUCGUAGAUAUCGGGAGGAACACCUGUGGCGAAGGCGGCCGCCUGGACGAUAACUGACGCUGAGACGCGAAAGCGUGGGUAGCAAACAGGAUUAGAUACCCCCGUAGUCC
rnacentral:rRNA from 1 species